GGCUCAGGAUGAACGCUAGCGGCAGGCUUAAUACAUGCAAGUCGAGGGGCAGCGGGAGUAGCAAUACUUGCCGGCGACCAGCGCACGGGUGCGUAACACGUAUACAAUCUGCCUUUAACAGGAGGAUAGCCCGGAGAAAUCCGGAUUAAUACUCCAUAACAGUAGAGCAAGCAUUUGCUUUAUUUGAAAGCUCCGGCGGUUAAAGAUGAGUAUGCGUCUGAUUAGCUAGUUGGUAGUGUAACGGACUACCAAGGCAACGAUCAGUAGGGGAUCUGAGAGGACUACCCCCCACACUGGUACUGAGACACGGACCAGACUCCUACGGGAGGCAGCAGUAAGGAAUAUUGGACAAUGCCCGCAAGGGUGAUCCAGCCAUGCCGCGUGCAGGAAGAAGGCCCUAUGGGUCGUAAACUGCUUUUGAACAAGAGAAAACCCCCCUACGUGUAGGGGGCUGAUAGUAUUGUUAGAAUAAGCAUCGGCUAACUUCGUGCCAGCAGCCGCGGUAAGACGAAGGAUGCAAGCGUUAUCCGGAUUCAUUGGGUUUAAAGGGUGCGUAGGCGGCCCGGUAAGUCAGUGGUGAAAUCUCCUUGCUUAACAAGGAAACUGCCAUUGAUACUGUCGGGCUUGAGUACAGUUGCUGUGGGCGGAAUAUGACAUGUAGUGGUGAAAUACAUAGAGAUGUCAUAGAACACCGAUUGCGAAGGCAGCUCACAAAACUGUAACUGACGCUGAGGCACGAAAGUGCGGGGAUCAAACAGGAUUAGAUACCCUGGUAGUCCGCACUGUAAACGAUGAUCACUCGCUGCUAGGGGGCAACCUUUAGUGGCUUAGCGAAAGCGAUAAGUGAUCCACCUGGGGAGUACGCCGGCAACGGUGAAACUCAAAG
rnacentral:rRNA from 1 species